UUGAAGCCGACCACAACGCCGAAGAGGAGGCUACCAAACCUUCCAAAGAGCGCAGCACGAAGAAACGAUAAGUUAUUCCCAGAGGUAUGGUGAGUGCUUUCCUUUUCUAGAGGCAAUGCCAUUGACAUGAAACCACUAGUAUACAAUCUCUGCGUCGCAUCAUCAAUGGUGAUAGAAGGUUAAUUAAUAACGACGAUCCGAGUGCAUGAAAUGGA